rnacentral:lncRNA from 1 species
AUGCUGGCACACAGAUUGUCAUUAAAUGCAUUGCGGUUUUCUGCUGGCAUUGUGUUUCAGACUCAAACGCAAAGGUUAAGUUCACCCGCCUCACAAUCUCUGCAUCAAAGUGACACUUCAGAGCUCAAGAGCUCAGAAGAAAGUACCUCAGAGGACCAAAGUUCAGAGUCUGAGUCCGAAUCAUUGGAAUCCAAUUCAGAGUCUUCCGAGAGCCAUUCUUUGGAGAGUGCGAGCCAAUCACUGGAGGACAGGGUAAAGAUCCUCAGAUUUACAUCAUUUCACAGAGUGCAUAUCAAGACAAUAAAAUGAGAAAGAUGCAAUCAAUUUACAACAUGUCAGGAAAAUGACGAUGGUUGCAUUUACUGUAUCUUCUGUUGGUUUGUUUCAGCAGACUGACUCCAAUGCUAUUGGGGAUACACGAGACAACAGCCAAGGCAGUGAAGAAAACGUUCGAAAGGUUCGUCUUGCACUUGUCAUAGUAUCCUGUGUCCUGUUAUGUCAUGUACUUAUAAUAAGAACGCAUUUUUACACAAUGCUAAGCCUGUCAAAAUCUUAGUUUGACAUUUAUAUUUAGUCUGCACAGAGCACUUACUACAUACAGUAUGUGCUUACGAGUCAUUCACAAUCUACUAGCUCAUCAGAGAAAAUUGCCAAAGACUCCAGCCACUCAAGCCAGACUCUUCACCCUGUUACCAUCUGGCAAACGGUACCGGAGUAUCGGUUCUGGGACCAUCAGGCUUCAAGAAAGCUUCUACCCCAUGACAUAAGACUGCUAAAAUCACAGGAGGCUGCUUAGGGAAGUACAGCUCAUAAUAAUGUAUGGAACGAAGUGAACGGAAUGGCAUCAAACGCCUGGAAUCCAUGUGUUUGAUGUAUUUGAUACCAUUCCAAUAUUUCCACUCCAGCCAUUGCCAUGAGCCCGUGCUCCCCAAUUAAGGAGCCACCAACCUCCUGUGUGUUAAAUAGCCAGACUGCUAAAAUAGCCAAUGAAUGGUACCCAAACAAUCUGCACUGACUCUAUCUUGCACUGACCCUACGCACACUCACUACACUAUACAUUGACACCAUAUACACACAUUUAAUCACACGCACUUCACUGUCACUCCUAUGCAGAUCUCUCACACCUUCAAACAUUAAAAUGCAUACGCACGCACACACACACACACAUGCACACACACACACACACACACAUAACACACACACGCAUACCGACACAAACAUACACGCACGCACAUUCACACGCACACUUUUACACUCAUAAUUUGCUGCUGCUACUCUGUUCUUUAUUUUACUCUUAUUAUUAUCUAUCUGGAUGCCUAGUCACUUUAUCCUGUCUUCAUGUACGUACAGUAUCUACCUCAAGUACCUCGUAGCUGUGCACAUUGAUCUGGUACUAGUACUCCCAGUAUAUACCGUGCAUUCUGAAAGUAUUCAGAACCCUUGACUUUUUCCACAUUUUGUUACAUUGCAGCCUUAUUCUAAAAUGGAUUAAAUAAAACAUUUUCCUCAUCAAUCUAUACAAAAUAACACAAGAUGACAGAAAUACCUUAUUUACAUAAAUAUUCAGACCCUUUGCUAUGAGACUCGAAAUUGAGCUCAAGUGCAUCCUGUUUCCAUUGGAUCAUCCUUGAGAUGUUUCCACCUGUGGUAAAUUCAAUUAAUUGGACAUGAUUUUUUAAAGUCACACACCUGUAUAUGUAAGGUCCCACAUUUGACAGUGCAUGUCAGAGAAAAAACCAAGCCAUGAGGUUGAAGGAAUUGUCCGUAGAGCUCUGAGACAGGAUUGUGUCAAGGCACAGAUCUCGGGAAGGGUACCAUAAAAUUUCAGCAACAAUGAAGGUUCCCAAGAACACAAUGGCCUCCAUCAUUCUUAAAUGAAAGAAGUUUGGAAUCAACAAGAUUCUUCCUAGAGCUGGCCGCCCGGCCAAACUGAGCAAUCAGGGGAGAAGGGCCUUGGUCAGGGAGGUGUAAAAGAACCCGAUGGUCACUCUGACAGAGCUCCAGAGUUCCUCUCUGGAGAUGGGAGAACCUUCCAGGAGGACAACCAUCUCUGCAGCACUCCACCAAUCAGGCCAUUAUGGUAGAGUGGGCAGACGGAAGUCACACUUUUUAUUUUCAUUUUUUUAGUUGAACCUUUAUUUAACUUGGCAAGUCAGUUAAGAACAAAUUCUUAUUUACAACGAUGGCCAAACCCUAACACGGGCGUCGCUGGGCCAAUUGUGUGCUGCCCUAUGGGACUCCCAAUCACAGCCAGACGUGAUACAGCUCAGGAUCGAACCAGGGUCUGUAGUGACACCUCUAGCACUGAGGUAGUGCCUUAGACUGCUGCACCUUAGACAGCUGUGCCACUCCACAGUAAAAGGCACAUGACAGCCCACUUGGAGUUUGCCAAAAGGCACCUGAAGGACUCUCAGACCAUGAGAAAUAUUAUUCUGAUUAAACUAAGAUUGAAUUCUUUGGCCUGAAUGCCAAGCGUCACACUAAGGAUUGCCCGCUGGAUACGAGAUGCAGGCACAGGGAGUGAACAUUUAAAAACCACAGACAGGAACAGAAUACAGACAGCGUCUGGACAGUGGAAACGGAAACAACAAUAAUGCUAACAUGGAGAUGAAACAGAGAAAACAGACAGAUAUAGGGAAUGCAAUCAAAACGUGAAGGAGUUCAGGUGAGUCCAAUGAGCUCUGAUGCGCGUAAUUAUGGUGACAGGUGUAUGUAAUGAAAGGCAGCCUGGCACCCUCGAGCGCCAGAGAGGGUGAGCGGGAGCAGGCGUGACAGUCACAUCUGGAGGAAACCUGGCACCAUCCCUACAGUGAAGCAUGGUGGUGGCAGCA